rnacentral:tRNA from 1 species
GAGGGUAGAGCUCAGUGGUAGAGCGCGUGCUUAGCAUGCACGAGGUCCUGGGUUCGGUCCGCAGCACCUCCA